CACAGAGUCUCCAAAAUGCUUAUUCCGAUUCCUGGAGGUGCUUGGCUACUGUUCACAGCUAAGGCAGGAGGAAUAAGGGGUUCCCUGGAGCCUGUGAGCCCACUGCCACAUGUGGGAGCAUGGCAGGGGCUCUGCCUGGGUUGAUCUGAGGCUGUUAAAUUUCUUGGCUUUUUCCACCUGGGUAGAUUGGAGUCUCUGGAGGAACCUCUUCUGUUUCCUCCCCUGAGGCAAUAGGCCUGGAGAGGCUCUUCGUGGGAGAGUGCCCUCCACACUUAGUGUGUGAAAGUGGGCUCCAUGCCCUGCUCCUUAUGUAGUCCUGUACAGCAGCCCUGAUUCUUGAGAGUUUUACCUCAAGUUCCUGCCAGAGAUGGGGACAGGCUAUUUAGAUCUGGGGUCCAUAUCUGUGAAAGGGAUGGAGAGUGAAAUCCUGUAUUCAGUGCUCUUCACCUGUAAGAUCCACAAACAUUUUGGAAUCAUUCCUUUGAGCAAGGUCUAUGCACCACCAGAAAUUCACUGGGCUCCACAGAGGUCUCCGGGUGUCUACACUGGCCUGGACCAGGGGUUUAUGCGGGAUUUCUCCAGGAACUAAGCUGGAUUCCUCAGGGGGUCAACACUGAGCUCCACUGGAGCCUAUGCUGGGUUCCUCUAGAGCAGUUGCUCUCCACCUGUGGGUCGAGACCCCUUGGGGGGGUGUCCUAAAACCACCCGAAAACACAGAUAUUUACAUUAUGAUUCAUAACAGUAGCAAAAUGCAGUUCUGAAGUAGCAACGAAAACAGUUUUAUGAUCCAGGUGAUAGUGGCGCACGCCUUUAAUCCCAACACACAGGAUGCAGAAGCAGGUGGAUCUCUGUGAGUUUGAGGCCAGCCUGGGCUUCAGCGCUAGUUCUACGACAGCCUGGGCUACAUAAAGAAGCCCUAUCUCAAAAGACAUAAUAAUAAUAAUAGUAAUAAUAAUAAUAAUAAUUUUAUGGUUUGGGGUCACCACAACAUGAGGAACUGUAUCAAAGGGUCGCUGCCUUAGGAAAGUUAAGAACCACUGCUCUAGAGACUUAACCUUGGGCUGUUCCAAGGGUCUAUGUUGUGUUCCUCCACAGUUCUACACUGGGCUAUCCCAGGGUUCAACAGCAGUUUCCUCCAGGGUUAUAUGUUUGUCUCUUCCAGGGGUCUACACUGGGCUCCACCAAUGGGGUCUACACUAGGAUUUUCCAGGGGUCUACACUAGGAUUUUCUAGGGGUCUAGACUAGGCUCAGUUAGAGACCUAUGCUGAGCUCUAUCAGGGGUCUACAUUAUAUUCCUCCUGGAGUCUAUGCUGGGUCCACUAGAGGCCUACACUAAGCUCCUCCAAGGGUCUACACUAAGCUCCUCUAUCGAUCUCUACUAGGUUUAGAGGCCUAUGCCAGGCUCCAUCAGCGGGCUACACUAGGUUCCUCCAGAAGUCUAUGCUGGGUUUCUCUAGGGGACUAAGCUACAUUUCUCAGGGAGGUCUAUGUUGAGUUCUACUGGGGUCUACACUGGGUUCCUCCAAGGGUCUAUGCUGGGGUUCUCCACUGAGGUCCUUCAGGGGUCUAUGCUGGGGUCCUGCUGCAGUCUGCACUGGAUUCUUUGAGGGGUCUACACUGGGUUCCUGUAGGGGUCUACCCUGAGCCACACCUGGAAUCUAUGCCUGCAUCCACCUGUGUUGUAGAAUAUUAUUUUAAGAAGUGUUAUAUUUGUUUAUGCUGUGGAACAUUUGUUCAAUGAUGCAAAGAUGUGUUGCAUUCUUUAAUGUUGCAUUUGUUUAACUCUGUGAAGCUGUGUUACUGUGCCUGUCUAAAACACCUGAUGGUCUAAUGAAGAGCUGAACAAUCAACAGUGAGGCAGCAGAAAGGAUAGGUGAGGCUGGCAGGCAGAGAGAAAUAAAUAGAAGGAGAAAUCUGGAAGGAAAAGGUCAAGGAGAAAAGAAGGAGCCAGCCACCCAGCCACCCAGCCACCCAACCACCCACAGAAUAAGAAGGAAAGAAAAGAUAUACAGAAAUAGAGAAAGGUAAAAGCCCAGAGGCAAAAGGUAGAUGGGAUAAUUUAAGUGAAGCUGGCUAGAAAUAAGCCAAGCAAAGGCCAGUCAUUUAUAAGUAAGAAUAAGACUCCGUGUAUGGUUAUUUGGGAGCUGGGUGGUGGGCCCCCCAAAAGAGCAAAGGGCCAAAAAGUAAAAACAACCAACAACACACCAGGAGUCUGGGUGGGUGGCUUCAGGAAGUAUGAGAGCGCAGGUUCAAGACUGCCCUGACACUCGGAGCUCAUCCCCAUUGCUCUGCUGUCCUGAGGGUGGGGGGAGAUUUAGCACCGUCUGUGUCUCCCAGAACUACACAGUGGAGAGCACACUGCUGCACAUUGUUUCUCUCUCCUCUUUCAAGCCUGUGUUCUGAGUUACCUACUGAGGACGAGAAUACAGCAUCUGAAAUCACUUCCCAGGUUCAUAGCCACACUCUGAUCUUUUCUCGAUGUGGACACAUAAUAAAGUUACUGAACAUCUGUUCUGCUCCACUUUCCUCACGUCAGUAUCUACCCCUCAGAUUUUUGUGAGAUAUCAAUGUACACAAGGCCCUCCCUAUCUGUGGGUCCAUAUCCGCACACUCAACCAACUCUGGAUUGAGAUGAGAAAAAUUUGCAUCAGUACUGAGCAUGUACAAACCUUCAUAUCAUGUUGUUUUUCCUUACACGAUACAGAAGAGCAACUAAGUACCUAGCAUUUACAUUAUAUUUGAUAUUAUGGUGAAUUUAGCGAUGUUUAAAGCAUAUGAGACAAUGUGAGCCGAUUCUGUGUUAAGUAUGAUCUCAGGCACUUGAGCAUCCUUGGAUCUUGGGGUCUGAUGAAGGUUUCUGGUACUGAUGCUCCGUGGCUGCUGAAGGAGGGCAGCAGAGUGCUUAGAACUGUAUCCCACAUGGUGAGUUCUGUGCACCAUCACUGUGACGACCAGCCCCAAGCUCCGUGGGAUUAGGAACUGUGCUGAAUUCCUUUGAGUUCCCUAAUGUAGGACUCGGCCAUUGCGAUGCACAAUACAGACUGGAUUCAGAAUACUACACUGACUGCAAUAUCCUCGGUCAGCCUGACAAUUCAGAGUUGUAGGGACUUAGUAGAAAAGGAGGGUGGGUACAUAUAUCCCCAUCAUCACCAAAAUUGAAGAGUCUCUUCACUUCUUCAUGGGGAUGCUUUCUCUAAACCAUGCAGCAUGGACAGAAGAAGGACACUAUGCUGGCUGGUCUUAUAUCACUGUGACACAAGCUAUAGUCAUCUGAAAGGAGGGAAUCUUAAUUGAGAAAAUAACUCUAUAAGAUCCAGCUGGAGAGCAUUUUCUUAAUUAGUGAUUGAUGGGAGAGGGCCCAGCCCAUGGUGGGUGGUGCCAUCCCUGGACGAGUGGUCCUGGGUUCUAUAAGAAAGCAGGCUGAGCAAUCCAGGGGAAGCGAGCCAGUAAGCAGCGCCCCUCCAUGGCCUCUGCAUCAGCUCCUGCCUCCAGAUUCCUGCCCUGUUUGAGUUCCUGCCCCGACUUCCUUUGAUGAUGAACAGUGAUAUAGAUGUGUUAGCUGAAUAAAAACCCUUUCCUCCCAAGUUGCUUCUGGUCACAGUGUUUCAUUGCAAUAGAAACCCUACGACACACACCCUAUGACCCUAACACACUGUUGACUGUCUACCGUCCUGGCAGCCUGUGGCUGGAUAGCUGCAAUCCACAUGGUACCUGCUUCCUCGGAUUGCAUAACUAAGGUGCCAUCAACUGGGUGCCUUCAAAAAUAAGGAUUCCUCUCAUAGUUAUGAAAACCAGAAGUCAAAAGAUUGAGGUGUUGGUGGGACCAUGCUGCCUCUGAAACCCUCAGGGAAGCCUUGCUGGACUCAUCCUAGCUUCUGGUGUUUUGCUGAAAGCCCUUGGCUCAUGACUUUACCACCUCAGCCUCAGUCAUUCUUAGCACAUGGCCUUCCAGGGUGGAGCUGUGUUUCUCUAAGGACACGAGUUCCUAUUGGAUUGGGGCCCCGCUAACUCCAUUCUGGCUUCCUCUUAACUAAUCAUGUCUGCCAGGACUACAAUUUCACCCAAGGGCAAAUUCUGAGGUCCGAGGAGUUAGGGCUCACCGUGGCUCUUGUGGCGUGAACACAGUUCAGCUUUUCACAAGCAUCUAACUUGAGGGUCAUCCCACUACGCAACGGUCCAUCCACAUACGCUGGAGUUACAGGCGCAGGUUACCUGGGCUUCUAAAUGAGGAUGAUUUGGCCUAAUAUUAGAAAGGACAACUGGAAAACUCUGGCUCUUCGUACCGCAGAUCCCCCUCAUACCCACAUCCCAAAAGAGGCCCACGGCUGACGUCUAAACCAUCCAGGGCACAGCCUGGCAAGCAUAAUCCUGACUAUUUUAAAAUGAUCAAAGGUGAAGCUUGGUAAUUUUUAAAUUUUUAGAUAGCUUUUGCCAAAUGCAUGUGUGUGGUUUUGAUCAGGAAGUUGUGGGUUUGUGCCUAAUAAAAAAAACUUUCAACAUUAAAAAUUCAGAAUUGGUGACCACUGAGAAAUCUAUAUAGCCUGAGGUAUGCAGAGUCACUCUGUCCCUCUCUCUCUUACCCCAGAACACUUUGCCCAACUCUCAGGCCCCAGGCUAGAAAUAGCCCUAUCUUGAAUCAUCUUCAGGGUUUUCAGCCCCCAGUGGGGCACUCUGGGUCAGCUUUACCAGCCUUCACCUGAGACUCACACCCGUGGGGAAAGCAACCUUCACGGGCCAACCAAUGUCUGGUUUCUGUUUCCAGAGCUAACGGGUCACUGAGGACUGUCUUCCAGACCCCAGCCUUCUGCCUGGAGCCCUCCAAUUCCCUCAAGCUGUGAGGAGGGAAGAGCGGCUCCCUCCUGAGGGUGGCAGACUCUUCUGAGGGGCCAGGAGAGGAGAGCUGUGUGCCCAGAAAGUGCAGCUGGACUCCGUCCAGUUAGCCUCUCUGAGCUAGUGUCCUCGGUCACACCAGAGAAAGACAAGCUUUUCACAUCAGAGGACCCAAUGGCAAGUGCCAUGGAGGUUUCAUGUGUUAGCGGCCAGUGUGCCCUUGAGUGAGAUAUUUAAGACGCUCAUUCCCCACAUCCUCUCCAGGGCGGAUCCACCACUGAGGUGCACACCCAGCUCCAUGGGGGGAGGAGGCACAGCUGCUUGGGGCAAAGCAAGGGAACUGAAGUGAGGGGCAGGAGCAGCUUCAAGGGCAACCUCAAAGGCCUCCCGCUGAGCUGGUCGCCCCUGUUCCCUGGACUCCUCACCCAGGCUGUUGGGUUCUAUGUUCAGGGAGCUGGGAAAGGAGCCACCACAACAGAACCUACCCUCCAGAGCUUUCUCUGAUUAGCACUGAGGUAGAAAGCGUGACAUGACUCACAAGAUGAGGAAACUAGGGUUUAAAUAAGUGAAGCCCACCAGCGGCGUGGGCAGGCGGCCCAAGUGUACCAGCUCUUGGCACCUCUCCAAACUGACGCCCCUGUUCUAGGACCUCUCUGAGGGAUGGAUAUGCCCAGGGCCUAAGGAGGUGUCUUAGCACUGUAGAAAGAAUGAACAAGUCUGCUCAAAGGUCCCAUAUGGUGGCAGCCACUGGCAAGGACCAGUCCUAACCCAUGGGCUCUCCUCUUUGGAUGGAGAUAGGGCACACCCAAGGAACAUCUAGAAGACCCUCAGAGGACCAACGGAAUUAAAAAGUCCUGUAGGACGGUCAGCAGGUCAAGACGCUGAGCACCCAAGAGCCAUCGGGAGGGGGUGCUCUUACAUGCACCGGAGACCACCAGAGGGACAACGUGACAUCAGUCGGGUGCCACGCCUGUUCAGAUGAGACAAGGCUGGACUGCAAGAAGAUGCCAAGUACGAUGGUGUGCUGGACCACCACAGGAAGCUUCUCGCCUUCCUUCUGCCCAGUGUGUAGCCUCUUCUUCAGCUGAUGGGCAGGGUCAGCCAGCCACACUGGCCGUAGGAAGGACAAGAGUCGAUGUAUUAAGGGCCAGAGAUGGAGCCAGAGCCAGCCAGCCACACUACCCUAAAAUCGCCUUACCCAAUGGGGGUAAGGGCAAAGGUUAGUCGAGCUGACCCUUUCAAAUACUUACAAAAGAAAGAAGAAAUGCAGCCUAGGGAUGGGAGUGACAUCAAGAAAUACCAUUCUGAUGGGGGCAAGCCCAGGUCACAGGGCAAACCCAACCACUAACCAGAAACACACAUCCGAGAAGGGCUAGUCAGUCCAUUCCACACGCUUGCGGUCCGGUUCUCCUCUGUAAUGAACAGUCUUGCUUCUGGGAAGCUAUGUCUUUGCCUCCAUGGUUCCUAACCACUACUGGGCUUCUUCAGGGUCUGCACAGCCCUCCACAGUGUCCUGCCCUGGCUCACAGCCUUUGGCCAAGGGUCCUCCAUGCUCAGCAGCCCCCUCACCUAUCUGGGCACAGGUGGCCUUACCCCUCCAGAUCACUACCCACCUUCCUCACCCACCAGCCAUCCGCUGCAGGUCUAUCCCUUCAGAUCGCUCUCUUAAACCCUCGACCGCUCCUUCAAACAAACUCCGUAGUCUGGCCUGGGUAGUCCCUCAGAUAUAUCCGUUUUCAUAUUCUUUCUCUCCCUCCAUCCCUCCUUCAUCAGUACCCAGCACCCUAUGGUUUAGUUGUGUACAAGGGACUGACUAGUUCCAGCUACCUGCUUUCAUUCCUUGACCUGGUACUCCUUCCCUGUCUGUCCCACACCCCUGGAAGAUCACCUUCUCUGAGAUGCCCUCCUCUGACUCUGUCCCUAGCUAAUGCUGCCCAGUUCCUAACGGGUAGGAGCCUGAGAGGCACCUGGAAGCUGACCCUCCCUGUGGCCAACUCCAGCAUCUCCCGAACAGUACCACUCACCUGCAGCCACCACAAGUUUCCUAAAAGAGUAUGUGAACUUGAAGUCUCUUCGAAGCCUCACUGUCUCCUAGGGUCAACUCUGAGGUCUCACUGAGACCGAGGUCACUCCCUGAGCCACUAUGACAAGAAGGGAUAGGUGGCACCCCGAAAUCACUAACAAAGGCCCUCUUCUUCUGUCUCAUCACCAGCAGAGCGCCCCUCUCAUCCCCACAGAGUACAGGCAUCACCUCGGGGAACCAGAGCUUUUGCUUUUAAGAAGCACUAAGUGUUUUCUCUGCUAUAGAUUCAGGCCGCCACCCAGCAAGCGGGGCAGGUGCUUCACACCGGAUCCAACUAAGGUUUGGAGCAUGAAGCGUGCUCCAAGGUCACUGAGGGAGUUGGCAGCAAAGGCAGGUCAAGGCUGUGACCAGAGGUGGUCCCCAACCGCCCCUCUUCCUCCCAUGGUGCCUGGCCCGAAAUGAAUGAAUUAUCCGGAUCACCCUCCCUUCUGCGAGCUGUCAAGGUUGUCUUGGCCAUGGUGUGUCUUCACAGCAAUAGAAAAGUAACCAAGACACCUAGUAUACACAAAGCCCUGGGUUCCAUCCCUGGCACCUCAUUAACUGGGUGCUAUUCAAGGUCAUCCUCGACUAUAUAGUAAGUUCAAGAGGUAAAGAAAGACCCUAUGUGGGGGUGGGGGUGGUGAUGGUUUUGGUGGUGGUGAUGGUGGUGAUCGUGAUGCAGUUGGAUUAGGAGUAGAGAGUGGAUGACAGACACAGGAUCUGUUGCCUCCUAAGCCUCCUGGCUUAAGACUGACCAUGAUCUCUCCUUUCGCUCUGAGAACGUUCUCUACAUCUCUAGAGAGGUGCCUAGGUGGAGCACCAGGCUCAAAGCUGCAAACCUCAUCACAUUGGUACACGAAGCAUCUGAGACGCUACAGCAGUAACUAAUUUGGACAAUCAGAUUCUCGCGGUCAAGUCCCUGUGAGCACAGCUGAAGGACACUGCUUGGAGCCACAGGUCCAUAAGGCUCUCCUCCCUUCAGCAGUCCGUUGAGGAAAUGCCUUAGCCAGUCAAGACCUCACCUUAGGAGGGCUCGCCUGUCUUUGUCCACCUCAGGAGGGCUUGCCUUGCUUUUUUCUGGUCUUGCUGGGACAAGUCUCCCUAGCAGGUGGCAACCACAUCUUCGUCUGGUUCUUGUGGGCCACAGACCACCUUGAGUGAGUCCAGACCUGCAGAUUGCCCGGGGGUCAGCAAACCCUAGCCUUUGUGAUCCAGAUGCCAAUGCCUCUACAGCCCAUGGAGUCUCAGGAGCUUCCAUCAACACCAUAGAGCAAUCACAAAGCCAGAGAGGAAGUGGAAGCCAAAGGAUCACCCUCAGCUGCACAGCAAGGUUCAGACCAGCCCGGGCUACAUGUGACUCUGGAGAAUUAUGCAGAAGAGUGAGGAGAGAGAGGCAGAAGUAACAAAGACUGUUGGGGUCCAGCCCCUCGAUAGUCUUUUCCCAGGGUCCGUGGAAGAAUCUACAACCAGCUGAUAAUCUAAUCUUAGAUGAUAUCAAAUAAAUCUACAUACGCGAAACUCUUUAAUUCAUUCACUUUAUUCUUCGGAGUCAGUUCUCUCUCUACACAGCUUCUUUUCUGCUCUCAUACUUAGCUCCUUUCUUGCCUGAUUUCUCGCUAUACUUUUCUGCUUUUCUCUCUAAGUUCUAUCUGAAUUCUCCCAUUUGUUCUUUCCCAUCUAGCUCUUCCUCAUCUUCCAUCUCGUUCUUCUAGUUCUCAAUCCAGUCCACCCUUCAGUCUCUGAGGUUUACCGUUAUAUACCCCUGCAAUAGCAAUGCUCUGGCUAAGGCAAGGUCACCAGGCUUGAAUUCCCUCAGGGUCAAGAGGAGGGGCAAUAAGCUACCCACAAAGAACAGUAAUUGUCAGCCAUCAUCUGCAACCCCAAGGGGAAGUGACUAGUGGGGCAUGAAUCAACUAAAGGCUAAAUUCGGUUAAUAGAUCUGAAAAAGGGGAUAUAUGUGCUCAAACUAUAUUCUUAGAAGUGGUUAGGUAAAAUGUUAGGAUUCUAUAAGUCACUGAGAAAAACUCUUAGCUUAACUCGACUGCCUGUUUCUUGGCAGGGCAGUGGAAGUAUAGCUAGGUAACUAGACAAAUUGCGUCCCAGCUAGAUGUACCUGGUA